rnacentral:rRNA from 1 species
GACGAACGCUGGCGGCGUGCUUAACACAUGCAAGUCGAACGGAAAGGCCCUGCUUUUGUGGGGUGCUCGAGUGGCGAACGGGUGAGUAACACGUGAGUAACCUGCCCUUGACUUUGGGAUAACUUCAGGAAACUGGGGCUAAUACCGGAUAGGAGCUCCUGCUGCAUGGUGGGGGUUGGAAAGUUUCGGCGGUUGGGGAUGGACUCGCGGCUUAUCAGCUUGUUGGUGGGGUAGUGGCUUACCAAGGCUUUGACGGGUAGCCGGCCUGAGAGGGUGACCGGCCAAAUUGGGACUGAGAUACGGCCCAGAACCCUACGGGAGGCAGCAGUGGGGAAUAUUGCACAAUGGGCGGAAGCCUGAUGCAGCAACGCCGCGUGCGGGAUGACGGCCUUCGGGUUGUAAACCGCUUUCGCCUGUGACGAAGCGUGAGUGACGGUAAUGGGUAAAGAAGCACCGGCUAACUACGUG